AGAGUUUGAUCAUGGCUCAGAACGAACGCUGGCGGCGUGGAUAAGGCAUGCAAGUCGAACGGGCUUUAACGGGUGGUAACAUCUGUUAAGGCUAGUGGCGAACGGGUGAGUAACACGUGGGCAAUCUGCCUCGAAGUGGGGGAUAACAUCGGGAAACCGGUGCUAAUACCGCGUAAUAUCCAGGGAUCGCAUGUUUCCUGGAUCAAAGGUGGGGAUCUUUCGGGACCCACCGCUUUGAGAGGAGCCCGCGGUCGAUUAGCUUGUUGGUGAGGUAAUGGCUCACCAAGGCAAUGAUCGAUAGCCGACCUGAGAGGGUGACCGGCCACACUGGGACUGAGAUACGGCCCAGACUCCUACGGGAGGCAGCAGUGGGGAAUAUUGGACAAUGGGCGAAAGGGUGACCCAGCAACGCCGCGUGGAGGAUGAAGGUCGUAAGAUUGUAAACUCCUGUUAGAGGGGAAGAAUAACUAAGUUUGGAGCUUAGUAUGACUGUACCCUCAGAGAAAGCCCCGGCUAACUACGUGCCAGCCGCCGCGGUAAUAC
rnacentral:rRNA from 1 species